AAUGAACUUCGGUUGAAGAAAAAAUCCUUCGCUUUUCUCUUUAAAAAGAAAAACAUUGCUACGGAUAGCGGUAUUUAGC
rnacentral:misc_RNA from 1 species